rnacentral:lncRNA from 1 species
AUGGCCCGAGUCGGGGAAGGACCCGGGGCGGGGGGUGAUUUGCUCUCCUCCGCCCCCACCCUCGCUCACUCGGGGAACCCCACGAGCGCCAGGGCCAGCCCAGGCCCGCAGCUGGGUCUGUUACCACAACAAACUGGAGGGAGGCGAGGGCUCGUUGCCAGGCACAGGGGCCUCCCCUCCCCGCCCUCGCCCGGAGCGCGAGCCGGAGCCAGGAGUCGGGGAAGGGGGACCAAGGCGGACCAGGCGGCCCCGAGCGCGCCCCCGCCGCCCGCCAGCCCCCCGGAAGCCCACGGGCAGGGAUGCGGCUGGAUGGGGGGCCCUGGCGCUCGAGAGAGGGUCAGCACGUCGCCCAGGGUCCCCGGCGCCCCGCACCCCCGCGGGACGAGCGAGUCCCGCCAGCCCCCCGCCCGCACUUACCGCCGGUGGGUCUGGGUCUCAGCCGCGGGCUGGGGCUGCCAGGAGGAGCAGGAGGCGGAGGCGGAGGCCGAGAGAUCCGGGAUCCCGCCGCCGGGUCAUGAUCCCCCCCGCCCGAGCUGGCCCGGACCCCGGGCCCCCGCCCCCCGGAGCCGCCCCAGCGCCCGCCCGUCCCGUCCCGUCCCGGGGGGAGGCGGGGAGCCGCCGCCGCCUCAGCCGCCGCUGUCGCUCCCGACCCCGGCCCCGGCUCCGGCCCCGGCUCCGGCUCCGGCCCCGGCCCCGGCCCCGGCCCCGGCUCCGGCUCCGGCUCCGGCUCCGCCUCCGCCUCCUUCCCGCCGCCGCCGCCGCCGCGGCCUCAGCCCCGCGCUCCCGCCUCGACCUCCCGCUCUGCCCGUCCGGGGCCACAGCGGGGCCCCUCGUUCUGCAGGCACCGCCGCCAGGCCCAGCCAGCCGAAUGCCGAGCGGCCGCCCCCAUUCCGCCAGCCAGCCCAAGCCCAGCCCCGGCCCAGCCCCGCCAGGCCGGAACUACUCGCUGGGAGCCCGCCCCUCGCCGCCAUGACACCUACAGAGGCGGAAGUACCCGCCAGCGUCGGCGCCGGCGCCGGCGCCGACGCCGCCAUGAUGCGGCCGUGUGUGUCUGUGAGCAUCCCGCGAUGGUGGUCGUGUGGGCCUCCGUGGGGAGCCAACGUGGAUCGAGUUAGGUGUCUAGGGCGUGGGGCCGGCCUGCCUGCGCCUUCUCACCGCAGAGCCCGCGGUGGUCACUCUGACGGGACUCGCCUUCUGAAGAGGGGAGGGGGCCGAUCGGGAAACUCCCCGCGCUGUGUGACGUCACCGAAGCUCAGUGUGACAUCAUCGGGCCUGACUGGGCCCACUGCCCCCACGGCACCCGCCACCCGGGAAGCCGGCCAGCUUGGGCUGUUAAGCGCCAGGGUGUGA